CCGGAGGUAGUUUCCAUUCUAUCAUGGUUCUUGUAAUUCUGUGAUUCCAUCCUGGUCUCGGUCUCCCUCUCUUCCUUCCCUCUUUUGAUUGCCAUUUCAUAGUCUUCUUUGGCAACCUUUUCUCCUCCAUCCCUUGCACGUGUCCGUACCAAAUCAGUUGUCUUUUCUCUAUCUCCUGAAUUAUAUCUUGAUCCAUCCUCAUGAUUUCUCUAAUUCUUUCGUUUCUCACUCUCUCUCUUCUGGAAAUUCCAGCCGCUCUUCUUAGGAAAUCCAUUUCCAUUAUUCUCAACUUAUUUUGUUGUUGUUCCGAGAGUUGCCAAAUUUCUGCUCCAUAAAGGGCCACGCUUUGUAUCAUCGUUUUAUAUAUUCUCUCUUUCGUUCUUUUUGUGAUAUUUUCAUCCCAUAAUAUUGGGUUUAGGGCUCCUAAGAGUCUCCUUCCCUGUCUAACAUUACUUCUGUAGUGGGAAAAAUGCCUCUGCUAUUUCAAGAUUAUGACGGCGGUAUAGCCGAUACUUGUGUUGCGGAAGAAAUUUUAUGAAAAUACAGGUUAAGUUACGUAUAACUGUGACUUUCAGUGAUAGGUACACUACAGCAUAUUUUGAGGGUUUUUCUGUUUCAGCAAAGUUGCCAUCUUUGGGGUGAUUGUAUUCUGUAAGUCUUAUGCAGACCAGGCAGUAGAUGGUGAGAGGCAUGUGAUGGGUCUCAUUACCAGAACAGAGGAGCAAGCUGCUAUCCAGUCAGUAUCAAGCGCAUGGAUGAGGAGAAACCUUAAGGAUAAGAGGUCACGAUAGAAGUGUUUAGUGACCAUGUGAUUCGAAAAGGAGGCGAUGAAAAACUUUUAGAGCCUACAUGAAUAGGAUAAGAUGCGAUUGAAAAAAAAUCACCCUGAAGACGACAACUGCAGUGUUUACCAAAAUGUUGGAAAAUAUUCAAAAUUUGACACAGUUUAUCCCUGAAAGCUGAUGUUAUACAUUUAACUCCAACUGUGAAAGCCUAUGGAUAAGAAUUAGGUCUUCCAUGUCAACACAUGUUGUGUAGUUGGACCAGCUGAGGCCUGAUUCAGGGUGUCGAAACCAGUUGCCAUCUUCCAUGCAGUGCCGGAAUGCUAACCCUGAAAUUGGUAUAUGUUAUGGCACAGUGGCUAUGUUGCGUGAUGAAAUGCUGCUGGUAUAACGUGUACGGAAGCAACCCCAUUGUAAGGGUAACGAGUGUGGAGGCGGCUAUUUUCUGGGAUGUUUCACCAUGUAGUCUGGUAGAUACCGACCAACCUUUCAGAGGAACAUACUGUAUGAUGAGGAAUAUAAGCUCAUACUUCUUACCUGGUAAUGUGACGUGGUUC